UACGUAGGGGGCAAGCGUUGUCCGGAAUCAUUGGGCGUAAAGCGCGUGUAGGCGGCCAGGUAAGUCCGUUCUGAAAGCCCGGGGCUCAACCCCGGGAGGCGGAUGGAUACUGCUUGGCUCGAGUCCGGAAGAGGCGAGUGGAAUUCCCGGUGUAGCGGUGAAAUGCGCAGAUAUCGGGAGGAACACCAAUGGUGAAGGCAGCUCGCUGGGACGGUACUGACGCUGAGACGCGAAAGCGUGGGGAGCAAACAGG
rnacentral:rRNA from 1 species